AUUGAACGCUGGCGGCAUGCCUUACACAUGCAAGUCGAACGGCAGCACGGGGCAACCUGGUGGCGAGUGGCGAACGGGUGAGUAAUGCAUCGGAACGUACCUUUCAGUGGGGGAUAACGUAGCGAAAGUUACGCUAAUACCGCAUAUUCUGUGAGCAGGAAAGCAGGGGAUCGCAAGACCUUGCGCUGAUUGAGCGGCCGAUGUCAGAGUAGCUAGUUGGUGAGGUAAAGGCUCACCAAGGCGACGAUCUGUAGCGGGUCUGAGAGGAUGAUCCGCCACACUGGAACUGAGACACGGUCCAGACUCUUACGGGAGGCAGCAGUGGGGAAUUUUGGACAAUGGGGGCAACCCUGAUCCAGCCAUGCCGCGUGAGUGAAGAAGGCCUUCGGGUUGUAAAGCUCUUUCGGCCGGGAAGAAAUCGCACGGGCUAAUACCCUGUGUGGAUGACGGUACCGGAAUAAGAAGCACCGGCUAACUACGUGCCAGCCGCCGCAGUAACAC
rnacentral:rRNA from 1 species